ACCCAUAUUUUUAACUUAACCUAAACUAACUAACCUCCAAAACUCGCGUCAAACAACGAGACGAUCCAGAGGUAACGACUCGCGAAUACGCGCGGAAUUUGAAUAAUAAAACAGUCUCUGCCAGGCCCAAAUACCUGUAUUAGAGGAAGCAGGGAAAAAGCAGGCUUUUGUCCACGUUGUCCGGCGCCAUUGUGGUGGACAAACGUUUAUUUCCGGCCGAGCUUUGAAAAUCAGUAAACUGUGCUUUUUAUCGGGGGCAUGUGAGCGCUCGAGCAGGGAUCAAACGUAUCGACCGCAAUUCUGCGGUUCUCGUACGAGAUCUCGCGUAAGUGGUGGGGAGAACGGGCGCGACUAUGCAGAUCACGGAUCUAAUUACCAGAUACGAGCAUCGAGGUCCACGAAAAUUGGUCAUCUGUGAGGCGUCCAAUUUAUUUUGUGGCCGGAUUUCACGCCGCUUCUUCGGUGGAUGGAUGAUGAUUUUAUUGUUUAGAGCGUGAAAAGAUAAAUUGAGGUGAAGUAUGAAAGGAUUUUUUUGUUAAUUUGUCUUCUUUGAAUAGUGAACAGUAUAUAUUUUGUUGGAUACAUUUGUGAUAUAUUCGAUAGUUGAUGUGAUCUGUUUACAAUUAAUCAUUAAAAUUAAUGGAAAGAGAAAUCUUGUAAGAAGAUUCUUUAAUUGCUCUUUCAUAUUUUCUAUCACGUUUGAACAUGAUACAUUAAUAAUGAAUGUUAUAUAUAGUUUCUUGUAAAAAAUUUUUUAGAGAAUUUGCAUAGAAAUCAUAAUUUUUCGCUUAUGGAAUAUAGAAUAUACACGUUUUAUAAUACACAUGCAAAGAAGAGAAGUAGUGGCAAAAGUGAUGACGAGGUUUUCGUUACGACUUGUGAUACACGAACUGAUGAUUAUCGCGAAGUCCAAGUUGGAUCAGAUAAUGUUACAGGAAGCUGUAAUCUUCGCCAAUCGUUUUUAGAGAAGUUAAAUAAUAAUAAAUUUAUAUCGAUAUUAAUUUUUUAGAUAAUAAUAAGAGAAUUUGAGAAAUUCGAGAUAUUAUGGUCCGGUUGAGACCGACCAAUUAUUAACAAGAUUUGGAAGGUUACGUUGUACAGAAUUCGUGGCUAAAUCUGAGAAGAUCCUUUUGUCAAAGCCCAUCCCGAAAGAGGAUGCUCUCACUUUGUGGUCUGCAAAUGGCUACGAAAUUUGUGCUCCCCAAAGUAUCUCUCCUGAACAUAUGUUCAAUUUAUACAACAAAAGACUUGAAUAACAUUUUGUUAUAUAUACUUUUAACAGAUUUGCACAUCGUUUGACAAAUUUUUUUUUUGUAUAAAAAAUUCAGAAUUUGGUUGGAUUUUAAUAAAAAUAUAAGAGUAACAUAAAAAUUAAUGGAUUUUAAAUUAAUAAAAUGAUAAUAAUAUAUUGGAAAAUCUUCUUGUUACAAAUUCGCAAAGAGAAAAUUUUGGCUAAAUAUUGAUAAAGAACAUAAAAAAAAGCAAAUGGAAAUAAAUAAAU